GCUACAUCAUGUUCAAAACACCGGUUCUCGUACGAUCACCGAAGUUAAGCAACGUCGUGCUUGGACAGUACCUAGAUGGAUGAUCGCUUCGGAAUACCAGGUGCU